rnacentral:lncRNA from 1 species
UUAAUUCUCCAGAAUGAUCCAUCUAAAUACAGAUCAGAUCAGAUCACUCUUUUGUCCAAAUCUCUCAGAGGCAUCCCAUCACACUUAGAAAAAUAUUCAAAGCUGUAUCUAGAGUCUGCCAUCAGCCUUUCUGAUCUGGCCUCCAGACUCUCUGCACCUCCUUCCCUUGUCUCUCCCUCCAUUCAAGCCUCUCUGGCCUUGCUGUUCCCCAGGACACCAAGCUUCUCUGCCUAGAACAUGCACCCCCGCAAACUGUCCUGUGGCUCCCUCUCCCUCUUCACUCAAGUUCUAAUGUCACCUCCCUGGGGAAGCCUGCCUUGGCCCCUACUUCAAAUAGUGUCCCGUCCUUCCCACCUCCUUCCUCAACUUCAUUUUCUUGCUGAUGCUUCUCAAAGCAGGAUAGCAUCUCAGGGAUUUGUUUACUUGUUUAUUUUCUGCAUUCCCCACUAGAAAAGAAGCUGCUUGUGAGCAUGGGUGUUUCAUUCACUGCUGUACAUCUAGAAUAAGGCCCAGCACAUAUACAACACAAAUGUGUGUGUGUAUGAGUGUGUAUCUGUGUGUAUGCUCAGUCACCCAGUCAAGUCUGACUCUGUGACCCCAUGCACUAUGAAGUGAAGCGAACUGAAACUCCCUCAGUCGUGUCUGACUCUUUGUGACCCCAUGGAUUGUAUAGUCCAUGGAAUUCUCCAGGCCAGAAUACUNNNNNNNNNNNNNNNNNNNNNNNNNNNNNNNNNNNNNNNNNCCAGGGAUCAAACCCAGGUUUCCCGCAUUGCAGGAGGAUUCUUUUCCUGCUGAGCCACAAGGGAAGCCCAUGGAUUUAGCCCUGAUGCCUAAUAAAUAUGUGUUGAAUAAAGCAAUGAAUGAGUGCCUGUGUACACACACAGAGUGAGAAUAUGGAGAGUAGAAACUCUGUCUUUACAUGAAAAUGGCCUUGCAUCAGAAUGGAGUUUUGAAAUUCCAAACAUCAGGUCCAAUCCCUGGAGAUGCCAGUGCACAAGGGACUCACACUGUUCAACACUCCACAACUGAUUCUGAUUCAGAACCAAAAGCCAAACACCUCUCUCAAAGGCUGAGCUACCUGUUAACUGAAGAUCUUCAAUUUGAGGGCUCCAAGGCAGAACUGAAGUUGCUGGGCUUCAGUUGCUGGCUCUUGGCUGGAAACAACUUCACCUAUAUACAGUUAAUGCCUACAGGCCACAGUCCUGUGGGCCAUAAUGACCCUAUCCCCAGCACUGGAAAUAAGAACACUUCUUAA